AAGGAAAUUAGGUUAACUAGACCAAGAGCCUUCAAAGCCCUAAGCAAAUACAACACUAUUUAUUUCCUG
rnacentral:tRNA from 1 species